rnacentral:rRNA from 1 species
GGAACGAACGCUGGCGGCGUGCUUAACACAUGCAAGUCGAACGAUGAACCACUUCGGUGGGGAUUAGUGGCGAACGGGUGAGUAACACGUGGGCAAUCUGCCCUGCACUCUGGGACAAGCCCUGGAAACGGGGUCUAAUACCGGAUACUGACCUUCACAGGCAUCUUCAAUGGUCGAAAGCUCCGGCGGUGCAGGAUGAGCCCGCGGCCUAUCAGCUUGUUGGUGAGGUAGUGGCUCACCAAGGCGACGACGGGUAGCCGGCCUGAGAGGGCGACCGGCCACACUGGGACUGAGACACGGCCCAGACUCCUACGGGAGGCAGCAGUGGGGAAUAUUGCACAAUGGGCGAAAGCCUGAUGCAGCGACGCCGCGUGAGGGAUGACGGCCUUCGGGUUGUAAACCUCUUUCAGCAGGGAAGAAGCGAAAGUGACGGUACCUGCAGAAGAAGCGCCGGCUAACUACGUGCCAGCAGCCGCGGUAAUACGUAGGGCGCGAGCGUUGUCCGGAAUUAUUGGGCGUAAAGAGCUCGUAGGCGGCUUGUCACGUCGGUUGUGAAAGCCCGGGGCUUAACCCCGGGUCUGCAGUCGAUACGGGCAGGCUAGAGUUCGGUAGGGGAGAUCGGAAUUCCUGGUGUAGCGGUGAAAUGCGCAGAUAUCAGGAGGAACACCGGUGGCGAAGGCGGAUCUCUGGGCCGAUACUGACGCUGAGGAGCGAAAGCGUGGGGAGCGAACAGGAUUAGAUACCCUGGUAGUCCACGCCGUAAACGGUGGGCACUAGGUGUGGGCAACAUUCCACGUUGUCCGUGCCGCAGCUAACGCAUUAAGU